UCUCACUUUGGUGACAAACAUACUAAAGUUGGAACAAUACAGAGAUGAGCAUGGCCCUUGUGCAAGAAUGACACACAAAUUUGUGAAGUGUUAUCAUGAGCA